CCUACGGGAGGCAGCAGUGAGGAAUAUUGGUCAAUGGGCGCGAGCCUGAACCAGCCAAGUAGCGUGAAGGAUGACUGCCCUACGUGUUGUAAACUUCUUUUAUAAAGGAAUAAAGUGAGGCACGUGUGCCUUUAUGUAUGUACUUUAUGAAUAAGGAUCGGCUAACGCCGUGCCAGCAGCCGCGGUAAUACGGAGGAUCCGAGCGUUAUCCGGAUUUAUUGGGUUUAAAGGGAGCGUAGAUGGGUUGUUAAGUCAGUUGUGAAAGUUUGCGGCUCAACCGUAAAAUUGCAAUUGGUACUGGCAGUCUUGAGUACAGUUGAGGUAGGCGGAAUUCGUGGUGUAGCGGUGAAAUGCUUAGAUAUCACGAAGAACUCCGAUUGCGAAGGCAGCUUACUAAACUGCCACUGACAUUGAUGCUCGAAAGUGUGGGUAUCAAACAGGAUUAGAGACCCUAGUAGUC
rnacentral:rRNA from 1 species